AUACCCUCCCAAAGCGGGAUCCCUGACCCUGAAGCCAGAGAAGGCACCUUGGUGCAAAUGUUUUUAUGCUCCCCCUAUUAUCUCCGUCCCUGAGGAUAUCGCAGAUUAGAAGGC